GUAGUAUUGAAAUAUGUAUCUGCUCUAUAGUUAUAAAAACUGACUGGUUGAGAUUCACAGAUCUCAUUUCUAUCUAUUCGCUGUUCAAAGUAAGAUUGAUUUUAUCAUCCCGGCAACUAAAAUGCGUGUUUUUCUCAUUUUUCUUUUUAUAUUUUUAUUUGGAUCUCAAAUAAAUCAAUCCACGUGCGGAACACCAGAUCCAAAAUGUUUAUUACCAAAGCUAAGUGCAGGUCGUUUUCAUCAUACACGGUACUAUUAUAACGCAGUAACAAACGAAUGUGAAGAAUUUAUAUAUGGUGGUCGUGGAGGCAAUGACAAUAAUUUUAAGAGUAAAAGUAAAUGUGAAGAAGAUUGUAAGCCUUCCGAAUAAUAAAUUUACUAUUUUUGUCUCUUA